GUGAUACUUUAUAGCCUUUAUGCAGUAGCAAUACAGGAUCUGGACGUUUCAAUAUAAUUAUACAUAGGGAUUGCACUGUCAAGGUUUUUUCCAGGGGGUCUUUUAGCCACAUCUUUAUAGGCAACUGCCCAGUGCUCACUGGAUAGGCACUGUGGAUCAUUUGUAUCUUUUUAUAAAUUAUGUAUUUUUUUAAGAUGCUUAGUUUUGACAACAUUCGAAUGAGCAGUAGGCACAUGACAAAAGCCUAUUAGGUACAUUGAAACAAAACGUUGAGUCAUUUACUAAGAACAUGCAGUACAGCAGUGUUUAACAGCAUCAUUUUUUUUUAUGGUCCAAGCUUUUAAUUGGUUGGGGACUGAGGGAGCUCUGGUAUGAGCCGUGCAUGGUGUUUAG